AGCAGCCGCGGUAAUUCCAGCUCCAAUAGCGUAUAUUAAAGUUGUUGCAGUUAAAAAGCUCGUAGUUGAAUUUCGGGAUCAAUACGUCGGUCGUGCUUCGGUACGUACUGGCGUAAUUGAUUUCUCCCUUCUGACGAACCAUGAUGUCAUUAACUUGGUGUCAUGGGAAAUCAGGACUGUUACUUUGAAAAAAUUAGAGUGUUUAAAGCAGGCUCACGCUUGAAUACAUUAGCAUGGAAUAAUGAAAUAGGACGUUUGAUCCUAUUUUGUUGGUUUCUAGGAUUGACGUAAUGAUUAAUAGGGAUAGUUGGGGGCAUUAGUAUUCAAUUGUCAGAGGUGAAAUUCUUGGAUUUAUUGAAGACUAACUACUGCGAAAGCAUUUGCCAAGGAUGUUUUCAUUAAUCAAGAACGAAAGUUAGGGGAUCGAAGACGAUCAGAUACCGUCGUAGUCUUAACCAUAAACUAUGCCGACUAGGGAUCGGAUGAUGUUAAUUUUUUAAUGACUCAUUCGGCGCCUUAC
rnacentral:rRNA from 1 species